UGGGGAAUCUUAGACAAUGGGGGAAACCCUGAUCUAGCCAUGCCGCGUGAGCGAUGAAGGCCUUAGGGUUGUAAAGCUCUUUUCAGCUGGGAAGAUAAUGACGGUACCAGCAGAAGAAGCCCCGGCUAACUCCGUGCCAGCAGCCGCGGUAAUCGGAGGGGGCGUAGCGUUGUUCGGAAUUACUGGGCGUAAAGCGCACGUAGGCGGAUUAGUCAGUCAGAGGUGAAAUCCCAGGGCUCAACCCUGGAACUGCCUUUGAUACUGCUAGUCUUGAGGUCGAGAGAGGUGAGCGGAAUUUCCGAGUGUAGAGGUGAAAUUCGUAGAUAUUCGGAGGAACACCAGUGGCGAAGGCGGCUCACUGGCUCGAUACUGACGCUGAGGUGC
rnacentral:rRNA from 1 species